GUGGGGAAUCUUGCGCAAUGGGCGAAAGCCUGACGCAGCCAAGCCGCGUGAAUGAUGAAGGUCUUAGGAUUGUAAAAUUCUUUCACCGGGGACGAUAAUGACGGUGCCCGGAGAAGAAGCUCCGGCUAACUUCGUGCCAGCAGCCGCGGUAAUACGAAGGGGGCUAGCGUUGCUCGGAAUUACUGGGCGUAAAGGGCGCGUAGGCGGACAGCUUAGUCAGAGGUGAAAGCCCAGGGCUCAACCUUGGAAUUGCCUUUGAUACUGGCUGUCUUGAGUUUGGGAGAGGUGAGUGGAACUCCGAGUGUAGAGGUGAAAUUCGUAGAUAUUCGGAAGAACACCAGUGGCGAAGGCGACUCACUGGCCCAAUACUGACGCUGAGGCGCGAAAGCGUGGGGAGCAAACAGGAUUAGAAACCCCAGUAGUCC
rnacentral:rRNA from 1 species